CGGCAACAGCUCAAAUUUGAAAUCUGGCCUCACGGUCCGAGUUGUAAUUUGGAGAGGAUGUUUCGGGUACCGCCGGUGUCUAAAUUUCUUGGAACAGGAUGUCAAAGAGGGUGAGAAUCCCGUCUGCGACCACGGUAGGGCUCAUGUGAAACUCCUUCGAC
rnacentral:rRNA from 1 species